ACGUAGGGGACGAGCGCUGUCCGGAAUUACUGGGCGUAAAGGGCGCGCAGGCGGUUUGUCAAGUCAGCUGUUAAAAAUGGGGGCUUAACCCUCAUAUGCUGUUGAAACUGGCAGACUGGAGUGCUGUAGAGGCAAGUGGAAUUCCCAGUGUAGCGGUGAAAUGCGUAGAUAUUGGGAAGAACACCGGUGGCGAAGGCGACUUGCUGGGCAGCAACUGACGCUGAGGCGCGAAAGCCAGGGGAGCAAACGG
rnacentral:rRNA from 1 species